rnacentral:rRNA from 1 species
GUCUGCGGCCCCGCCACCCGGACAAGUCCGAGCCUGUCCGAGCCGAGCAGGCCCGGGCCUGGUUAGUACUCGGAUGGGAGACCGCCUAGGAAGACCAGGUGCUGGAGGCA